rnacentral:misc_RNA from 1 species
UCUCCGUUGGUGAACCAGCGGAGGGAUCACUACUGAGUUACCGCUCUACAACCCUUUGUGAACAUACCUAACUGUUGCUUCGGCGGGCAGAGGUCCCUCGCGGAUCUCUCCCGGCAACGCCCUCACGGGCGGAGCGCCCGCCGGAGGAUACCAAACUCUAUUUUAACGACGUUUCUUCUGAGUGGCACAAGCAAAUAAUUAAAACUUUUAACAACGGAUCUCUUGGUUCUG